UACAGAGGUCUCAAGCGUUGUUCGGAUUCAUUGGGCGUAAAGGGUGCGUAGGCGGCGCGGUAAGUCGGGGUGUGAAAUCUCGGAGCUUAACUCCGAAACUGCAUUCGAUACUGCCGUGCUUGAGGACUGGAGAGGAGACUGGAAUUUACGGUGUAGCGGUGAAAUGCGUAGAUAUCGUAAGGAAGACCAGUGGCGAAGGCGGGUCUCUGGACAGUUCCUGACACUGAGGCACGAAGGCCAGGGGGAGCAAACGGGG
rnacentral:rRNA from 1 species